UUACCUUUCCCUGCAUAUUCCUUCAAACCAAAGAUAACCUAAAGGAGACAGCGUGGGGAUGGAUCAUGGAUGGCUUAAGCAAUAUUAUUGUGAGAAAGAAUCGGUGCUGAUAAAUUAAAGUUUGGUGGAAAUGACAGGUAUCCAGAGGAUCCUUAUGAUCGAUAUUGGGAAGCAGAAGUAGGAACCAACCUUAUGCCAAUUUCAGUUGGGAGUGACACACAAAUAUUAGCCGCAGACCUGCCUGACAAACCUCCCCAAUCUGUUUUACAAACCGCAUUGACUAUCCUAAAUUCAUCUGGGAAUGGGAUCUCAUUAUUAAAUUAUACUUCAACUGAGCUCUACAUCAAUUUAUACUUCGCUGAACUGCUUCAGCUCAACUCCUCUCAGAAGCGAUCCUUCAACGUUUACACCAACAAUGUGCCUCUCUCCCAGCAGCCCAUAAUCCCACCUUAUCUAUCUGCUCUCCAGGUUUUCGUCAACAUAAACGUUUCCUCUGCCACAGUGCUCUCUCUGUCCCGUACCCGCGAUUCAACUUUGCCACCAUUAAUCAAUGCAAUGGAGCUCUUCGAAAAAAAUGUUGAAUUAACUGAUGGAACCUUUGACACAGACGUAAAAGCGCUAGCGUUGUUGCAGAGUGCCUUUUCUAAGCUCCAAGAAUGGAGGGGUGACCCCUGUCUACCGGAAUCGUUUACUUGGGAUUGGGUGGAAUGUAGCAACGACAAGAUGCCUCGAAUAUCAAAACUGUAAAUCUUCACUCUACACAAACUCUAACGUGAAAUCCUUACUGCUACUGUCGUUGCUGCUAGUAUUAGGCGACAGUUAUUGCCUAUCGAAUUGUGUUUAGGAGAAUCUGAAUCAUUUUUUGGGGGGCAUUUGCAAAAGCCCCGAUAUGUUCCUCUCUAUAUAUUCAAUUCGUGGUUAUGUUUCAGCCACAAGGUUAUUGAUAAAUGUCCCAAGUAAGCCCCUUUUAUAAUAUGGAAUUGGAAUCCUGUCCAGCUCUCCUGUUACCAGUUACCGCUACCAAAAGGAUUCUAUUUCUGGCUAAUGUCUUAUUUGGUAGAUGAUAAGAGUAUUUUGGUAGGGUGACUGAUUUGGGUCCAAAAUGUUAUUUGUAAAUUCAGGCAACCGGACCAAGUGACAUGGAUUUGGGUCCAAAAUAUUAUUUGAAACCUCUGUUUGUCUGUUUGUGAUUUGCUUUUGAUUUCUGAAAUGUGAAUUGUCACAAGCUUCUUGGUAACCUUGGACUUCAAGGCCCUCUUCCAGACUUCAGUGCCAUGGAUGCUCUUCAAGUAAUAGACUUGAGCAAUAACAAAUUAAGUGGAGAAAUUCCUGAUUUCCUUGGAAAUUUUCCACAUUUGACACUGUUGAACUUGACAAAUAACAAAUUUAGUGGAUCAUUACCUUCGUCGCUCGGAGGAAAUAGCACAAUACAGCUUUAUACUUCAGGCAAUUCAGAUUUAUGUGAGUUGGGGAAGUCAUGUUCAAGUCCACAGAAUAAUACUAGUCCUAUUCCAAACAGUGGGCAGGGAAUAAAGAGUGAAAAUUUGCUCCUAAUCCUUGGAAUCAUAUUUCCAAUUUUCUUCAUGGUUUAUGCUUAAAGAAGCAGGUCUAAUAAGAAGGAUGAGUCAGUCAAAUCACUUUCUGCAGGAGGCACCAGCAAAGCUUCUAUAAGGAGGUGAUUAACAUGUAUUUGGCAUGGGCUUGAAUGGGGUUCAACAGAAGAGACUAUCUUCAGAUAGUCAUUAUGUUGUAGAAAUACAAGGGGGAUCAAGCUUAGAUUAAAACCCAGCUUUCAUAGGAUUCUGUUUAUAGGUGACUCUGUUUUUUAUAAUUUGUUUUUGUCGAAUCAUUUCACUAGUCUGUAAGGAUAAGGAAACACUCAUUUAUACAGAAGCACGAAUAAAGUGAAAAUCCCCAUUCCAAUCAAAAACUCGAAAUAGAAGUAGAGAGCUUACCGAGUUGACUCAGAAUGAUG